AUGGGACAGAGAUUGACCACUCCAUCAUCGUUUGGUAUUGACCCAUUCCAGUCUGAGGAGGAUAAAAUUAGGGCAGAGACAGAAUUUAAUUUCCUUUAUUUUGACCUUGGAGAUGUACUGAACUGUACUGUAAAUGAGCAUUACCACCCAUUCCAGGACUGUUUAACUGAGCUAAUUAACAUCACCAGAUGUGCAUAGAUGUCACCAGAAGAUGUGCAAGAGUUGCUUUAUUUUGUUGUAAUUGUAAUAAUGAACACAACAUCAAUAAGUUGUGUCAUUGUACAUUAAUCAUUUUGCCUACGGUAGCAUAGAGUGUAUUAAAUAUUACAAGAACAGUAGUUACAGUAAGUAUAAUAGUGAAAUUGGAUAAAAUUCUGGUAGCAAAUGAUCAUUUAAGUCAAUGAUUUGUAUUGGUCAGUUUAAAGCAAAACAAACUGGUACUGACAAAAUAGUCUAAUAAAUUAAAUGUAAAUGAACUACAACUUUAUUUUUUUUUUUUACUCAGUAUGCCACUGCAUGCAAACAGAACAUGUUUAAAACAUUAACGUCUUUAACGUUUCACAAACAGAUGGCCAUGGUUUGAAAAAGAUGGUGUUUACAUGGCCUGGAACAAUCAGUUUACAUUGCAUUGUUAAAUGUGUAAACUGCAUAUUGGUAUGCAUUAAAGUAUUACAUAUUACUGACAACAACUAUUACAAAACAGUUAACAAACCUAUUACAAUGAAAUAUUAAAAUCUUUCAGUUUGCAUAUUGUAUUUUUUAGUGUAAACUACAUAUUUGCAUUAACGUGUUACAUGCAAACAUUGACUUCACAUCAAGAAUGCUGAGAAAAACUAAUUACAAAACAGUCAACAGACCUGAUGAAUAAAACAUUACAACGAAUUGUUUAAACAUUCAAAAUGCAAAUCAGAUUAGAAAUGGUAUUAAAAAACAAAACAUGGUAAUAGACACAUGGCAAAUAAACACUUUUUAUAUUGUAUUAAAAAUGUCCAUAUUGCCAUAUGUUUUAUCCUUCAGAAUGCUACACUAACCGUUGCAACCUCAGGCCGAGCUGUACUGCUCAUCUAAGGCCUUAAUAACAUUUUAAACUUCAGAGAGGCCAGCAACAACCACAAUUGAUUCUCUUGAAAUGGCAGACCUGCAUUUUACACAUGCUUGACCUUCCUGAACAAAUAAAUCAACACACUGUCUACAGCCAAUUAGACUGCGACAGCAGCGUGCCAAUACGGGACUGUCCAUCACUCCUGUAACAAACACAGAUAAAAAUAACAAAUUUAUUACACAGGCAAUAAAUAAAAAUAAAAACUUUACACAGCUUUUAUGAUACUGAUAGCUACUCCAUAAAUAUUCUCCAUAAAUAGCUACAGUCGUGGUCAAAAGUUUUGAGAAUUACAUAAAUAUUGGAAAUUGGAAAAGUUGCUGCUUAAGUUUUUAUAAUAGCAAUUUGCAUAUACUCCAGAAUGUUAUGAAGAGUGAUCAGAUGAAUUGCAUAGUCCUUCUUUGCCAUGAAAAUUAACUUAAUCCCAAAAAAACCUUUCCACUGCAUUUCAUUGCUGUCAUUAAAGGACCUGCUGAGAUCAUUUCAGUAAUCAUCUUAUUAACUCAGGUGAGAAUGUUGACGAGCACAAGGCUGGAGAUCAUUAUGUCAGGCUGAUUGGGUUAGAAUGGCAGACUUGACAUGUUAAAAGGAGGGUGAUGCUUGAAAUCAUUGUUCUUCCAUUGUUAACCAUUGGUGACCUGCAAAGAAACGCGUGCAGCCAUCAUUGCGUUGCAUAAAAAUGGCUUCACAGGCAAGGAUAUUGUGGCUACUAAGAUUGCACCUAAAUCAACAAUUUAUAGGUUCAUCAAGAACUUCAAGGAAAGAGGUUCAAUUCCUGUAAAGAAGGCUUCAGGGCGUCCAAGAAAGUCCAGCAAGCACCAGGAUCAUCUCCUAAAGAGGAUUCAGCUGCGGGAUCAGAGUGCCACCAGUGCAGAGCUUGCUCAGGAAUGGCAGCAGGCAGGUGUGAGCCCAUCUGCACGCACAGU
rnacentral:lncRNA from 1 species